UACGUAGGGGGCAAGCGUUGUCCGGAAUCAUUGGGCGUAAAGCGCGUGUAGGCGGCCAGAUAAGUCCGCUGUGAAAUCUCGAGGCUCAACUUCGAGCUGUCGGUGGAAACUGUCUGGCUAGAGUCCGGAAGAGGAGAGUGGAAUUCCUGGUGUAGCGGUGAAAUGCGCAGAUAUCAGGAAGAACACCCGUGGCGAAGGCGGCUCUCUGGAACGGUACUGACGCUGAGACGCGAAAGCGUGGGGAGCGAACAGG
rnacentral:rRNA from 1 species